CUUCUCCCUCUCUCUCUCUCUCUCUAAAAACGUUCCCUGCUAUUAUAAAAAAAAAAACGCAACCUGUUAUUCCUUCUGGUUCCUUCCUUGCCUCUCUCGCUCUCUCCUUUUUUUUCCUGAAAAAAAGGUCAGAGAGGGAGAGAGAGAGAGAGCGCCGCACACACCGUAA